UACGUAGGGUGCGAGCGUUGUCCGGAAUUAUUGGGCGUAAAGAGCUCGUAGGCGGUGUGUCACGUCGUUCGUGAAAACCUGCAGCUUAACUGUGGGCGUGCGGUCGAUACGGGCAUCACUGGAGUUCGGCAGGGGAGACUGGAAUUCCUGGUGUAGCGGUGAAAUGCGCAGAUAUCAGGAGGAACACCUAUGGCGAAGGCAGCUCGCUGGGACGGUAUUGACGCUGAGACGCGAAAGCGUGGGGAGCGAACAGG
rnacentral:rRNA from 1 species